GGUCAAGCUACAAAGGGCGCAUGGUGAAUGCCUUGGCACUAGGAGCCGAAGAAGGACGCGAUAAGCUGCGAUAAGCCUUGGGUAGCCGCAAAUAGGCUGAGAUCCAGGGAUUUCCGAAUGAGGAAACUCACAUGGGUAACCCCAUGUAUCAUGCACUGAAUACAUAGGUGUAUGAGGGUAAACCCGGGGAACUGAAACAUCUAAGUACCCGGAGGAAGAGAAAGAAAAAUCGAUUUCCUAAGUAGCGGCGAGCGAACGGGAAAGAGCCCAAACCAGAAACUUGUUUCUGGGGUUGUGGAUAGAUCAUAAAAGAAGAGGUAUCUUAAUUGAAGAGGGCUGGAACGCCCUACCAUAGAAGGUAAUAGUCCUGUAGGUAAAAAGAGAAAACUUCGAGAUCUAAUCCAGAGUACCACGAGACACGUGAAACCUUGUGGGAAGCAGGGAGGACCACCUCCCAAGGCUAAAUACUACCUAGUGACCGAUAGUGAAGCAGUACCGUGAGGGAAAGGUGAAAAGAACCCCGGAAGGGGAGUGAAAUAGAACCUGAAACCGUGUGCCUACAACCGAUCGGAGCACGUUAAAGUGUGACGAUGUGCUUUUUGUAGAACGAGCCAGCGAGUUACGCUAUGUAGCAAGGUUAAGUACUUAAGGUAUGGAGCCGAAGGGAAACCGAGUCUGAAAAGGGCGAAAAGUUGCAUGGUGUAGACCCGAAACCGGGUGACCUAUCCAUGGCCAGGUUGAAGCGAGAGUAAAAUCUCGUGGAGGACCGAACCACGUUGGUGUUGAAAAACCAUGGGAUGAGCUGUGGAUAGCGGAGAAAUUCCAAUCGAACUCGGAGAUAGCUGGUUCUCCUCGAAAUAGCUUUAGGGCUAGCGUCGUGUAAUUGAGUAAUGGAGGUAGAGCACUGAAUGGGCUAGGGGCUAUAGUAGUUACCGAACCCUAUCAAACUCCGAAUGCCAUAUACUUGUAUCACGGCAGUCAGACUGCGAAUGAUAAGAUCCGUAGUCAAAAGGGAAACAGCCCAGACCAUCAGCUAAGGUCCCAAAGUGUAAGUUAAGUGGAAAAGGAUGUGGGAUUUCUAAGACAACUAGGAUGUUGGCUUAGAAGCAGCCACUCAUUUAAAGAGUGCGUAAUAGCUCACUAGUCAAGAGAUCCUGCGCCGAAGAUGUCCGGGGCUCAAACUUACCACCGAAGCUAUGGGUGUACACUAUGUGUACGCGGUAGAGGAGCUUUCUGUAUGGGUUGAAGUCGUACCGUAAGGAGCGGUGGACUGUACAGAAGUGAGAAUGCUGGCAUAAGUAGCGAGAAAUAAGUGAGAAUCUUAUUGGCCGAAAACCUAAGGUUUCCUGGGGAAGGUUCGUCCGCCCAGGGUUAGUCGGGACCUAAGCCGAGGCCGAAAGGCGUAGGUGAUGGACAAUCGGUUGAUAUUCCGAUACCGCCUAUUUACGUUUGAGAGAUGGGGUGACGCAGUAGGAUAAGAUGUGCGCACUAUUGGAUGUGCGUCUAAGCAUUUAGGCAUGCUUGAUAGGUAAAUCCGUCGAGCUAAGCUGAGGUGUAAUGGGGAGCCAUUUAUGGCGAAGUAUCUGAUUCCACACUGCCAAGAAAAGCCUCUAUCGAGUGAAUAGGUGCCCGUACCGCAAACCGACACAGGUAGGUGAGGAGAGAAUCCUAAGGCCAUCGGAAGAAUUGCUGUUAAGGAACUCGGCAAAUUGACCCCGUAACUUCGGGAGAAGGGGUGCCUACGAAAGUAGGCCGCAGAGAAUAGGCCCAAGCAACUGUUUAGCAAAAACACAGGUCUCUGCUAAAGCGAAAGCUGAUGUAUAGGGGCUGACGCCUGCCCGGUGCUGGAAGGUUAAGGGGAACACUUAGCGUAAGCGAAGGUGUGAACUUAAGCCCCAGUAAACGGCGGCCGUAACUAUAACGGUCCUAAGGUAGCGAAAUUCCUUGUCGGGUAAGUUCCGACCCGCACGAAUGGCGUAAUGAUUUGGGCACUGUCUCAACAGCAAAUCCGGCGAAAUUGUAGUGCAAGUGAAGAUGCUUGCUACCCGCGAUUGGACGGAAAGACCCCGUAGAGCUUUACUGUAGCUUAGCAUUGAAUCUCGGUAUUGUCUGUACAGGAUAGGUGG
rnacentral:rRNA from 1 species